rnacentral:rRNA from 1 species
UAUUGGACAAUGGGGGCAACCCUGAUCCAGCCACGCCGCGUGUGUGAAGAAGGCCAUUUGGUUGUAAAGCACUUUAUGCAGUGAAGAAGACUCUAUGGUUAAUACCCAUAGACGAUGACAUUAGCUGCAGAAUAAGAACCGGCUAACUCUGUGCCAGCAGCCGCGGUAAUACAGAGGGUGCAAGCGUUAAUCGGAAUUACUGGGCGUAAAGCGAGCGUAGGUGGCGUAAUAAGUCAGAUGUGAAAUCCCCGGGCUUAACCUGGGAACUGCAUCUGAUACUGUUGGGCUAGAGUAGGUGAGAGGGAGGUAGAAUUUCAGGUGUAGCGGUGAAAUGCGUAGAGAUCUGAAGGAGUACCGAUAGCGAAGGCAGCCUCCUGGCAUCAUACUGACACUGAGGUUCGAAAGCGUGGGUAGCAAACAG